AACGAACGCUGGCGGCAGGCUUAACACAUGCAAGUCGAGCGCCCCGCAAGGGGAGCGGCAGACGGGUGAGUAACGCGUGGGAACAUACCCUUUCCUGCGGAAUAGCUCCGGGAAACUGGAAUUAAUACCGCAUACGCCCUACGGGGGAAAGAUUUAUCGGGGAAGGAUUGGCCCGGGUUGGAUUAGCUAGUUGGUGGGGUAAAGGCCUACCAAGGCGACGAGCCAUAGGUGGUCUGAGAGGAUGAUCAGCCACAGUGGGACUGAGACACGGCCCAAACUCCGACGGGAGGCAGCAGUGGGGAAUAUUGGACAAUGGGCGCAAGCCUGAUCCAGCCAUGCCGCGUGAGUGAUGAAGGCCUUAGGGUUGUAAAGCUCUUUCACCGGAGAAGAUAAUGACGGUAUCCGGAGAAGAAGCCCCGGCUAACUUCGUGCCAGCAGCCGCCGUAAGAC
rnacentral:rRNA from 1 species